ensembl:lncRNA
GAACCACAUUGAGGAGAAGGUUGCGACUUUGUCAGGAGAUUUCAGGCUGCAGUAUCUUGAUGCUGACCUCAACUGUGGAUCUCCAGGACAAAGGAACAGUCAAAGUGGUAGCACAAAGUGCAUAUGAUGUCUGUUCUCUAUCUUCUGCGGACACUGAUAUACGCUCAUCAACUUCAUCUCCGUCACCAUCUUGCCUGUCAGUUUCUCCAACAACGUCUGAUGUUGCUUCUGCCUCAACUUCUGAGCUGUCUUCAUCCACAAAGCUGAGGAGUGAAACCUGGCCAACUAACUUUCUGAUCCCUAAGUUUCCCUAUGAGGUAGAGCUGGAACUCAGAAAGCCCACGAAGAGUUCGUGAAUGAUGGUACUUCACUUAACAUAGACUCAAAGCCUAAACUAAAAUUCUGUAAUCCUUGGCUGCAGAAGUAGUGAAGUACAAAGUGUACCCUAGGAUUGAAGAAUAUGAAGAGGUUGGGAAAGCGCUGAUCACAAAGCAUCCAUGCCUACAGGAAAAGGGAUCAGUUGGUGGGUUCUAUGGCUGGAAAUCAGUCUACAGUGGAAGAUGGCGAAUUAUCGGCGUACACUACAAGCAGCUGGCUGUUCUGAAGUAAAGAUAAAUUCUUUAAAACACAAACCCGGUGAAAAUAUAAGUCCAAACCAAGUCAAAAAGCCGAAGGAGGCUUAAGUCAAUUUCUACCCUGAUUAUCCAGCUGGAGAGAACAAAUAAAGCCUAGAGGAAGAGCGACUGUCAUUGCUGUCUGAGGUCCAGAAAAGGGACAACCAUCAAAUUAUUAAACACAAAAUGGAAAAAACUUUUGUCUACAGAAGACAUGAAGUGAUUGAAGAGAUGCCCUUCAUUGUUGACUUCAAAAGCAGAUGGCCACCUCUGUUUUGUGAACAUGAGAUUGCUGCUGAGUUCCCUUGCAUCACUACUGUCCCACUAAUUCAAACAUUUAUGUCAAAACUGGAUGGUUACACAAGCAAGCUGGCCAGCAUCUACCGGAGAAAAGGAGGAAUUGCAGGACGUAAAAUUUGGAAACUGAUGGCUACCAUCGACAAG